UACGUAGGGUGCAAGCGUUAAUCGGAAUUACUGGGCGUAAAGCGUGCGCAGGCGGUUGUGCAAGACAGAUGUGAAAUCCCCCGGGCUUAACCUGGGAAUUGCAUUUGUGACUGCACGGCUAGAGUGUGUCAGAGGGGGGUAGAAUUCCAGGUGUAGCGGUGAAAUGCGUAGAUAUCUGGAGGAACACCGAUGGCGAAGGCAAUCCCCUGGGCCUGCACUGACGCUCAUGCACGAAAGCGUGGGGAGCAAACAGG
rnacentral:rRNA from 1 species